UUCCGGUUGAUCCCGCCGGAGGUCACUGCUAUUGGGAUCCGAUUAAGCCAUGCGAGUCGAGAGGGUUCGGCCCUCGGCGUACUGCUCAGUAACACGUGGAUAAUCUGACCUUAGGUGGAGGAUAACCUCGGGAAACUGAGAAUAAUACUCCAUAGAUCUUUGAUGCUGGAAUGCACUUAGAUUCAAAGCUCUGGCGCCUAAGGAUGAGUCUGCGGACUAUCAGGUUGUAGUCAGGGUAAUGACCUGACUAGCCUACGACGGAUACGGGUUGUGAGAGCAAUAACCCGGAGAUGAUAUCUGAGACACGAUAUCAGGCCCUACGGGGCGCAGCAGGCGCGAAAACUUCACAAUGUGCGAAAGCGCGAUGAGGGGAUCCCAAGUGCUUGCACGUAAGUGUAAGCUGUUUCUCUGUUUAAAAAGCAGGGAGAGUAAGGGCUGGGUAAGACGGGUGCCAGCCGCCGCGGUAAUACCUGCAGCUCAAGUGGUGACCGCUAUUAUUGGGCCUAAAACGUCCGUAGCCUGCCGAGUAAAUGCCUGGGUAAAUCGUGUCGCUUAACGAUACGAAUUCCGGGUAGACUGCCUGGCUUGGGACCGGAAGAAGUUAGAGGUACUCCUGGGGUAGGGGUGAAAUCCUGUAAUCCUGGGGGGACCACCAGUGGCGAAAGCGUCUAACUAGGACGGGUCUGACGGUGAGGGACGAAACCCCGGGGCGCAAACCGGAUUAGAUACCCGGGUAGUCCAGGGUGUAAACGCUGCUUGCUUGAUGUUAGUUGGGCUCCGAGCCCAAUUAGUGUCGGAGAGAAGUUGUUAAGCAAGCUGCCUGGGAAGUACGAUCGCAAGAUUGAAACUUAAAGGAAUUGGCGGGGGAGCACAGCAACGGGUG
rnacentral:rRNA from 1 species